UGGGGAGUCGUCGAAUUGGUAAGACGCCUGACUCUGGAUCAGGAAGCUGAAGGUUCGAGUCCUUCCUCCCCAGCCA
rnacentral:tRNA from 1 species